rnacentral:rRNA from 1 species
UACGUAGGGGGCUAGCGUUGUCCGGAAUCAUUGGGCGUAAAGAGCGUGUAGGCGGCCCGGUAAGUCCGCUGUGAAAGUCGGGGGCUCAACCCUCGAAUGCCGGUGGAAACUGUCGGGCUGGAGUCCGGAAGAGGCGAGUGGAAUUCCUGGUGUAGCGGUGAAAUGCGCAGAUAUCAGGAGGAACACCAAUUGCGAAGGCAGCUCGCUGGGACGUAACUGACGCUGAGACGCGAAAGCGUGGGGAGCAAACAGG